rnacentral:rRNA from 1 species
CAGAUGAGAAGCUUGCUUCUCUGAUGUUAGCGGCGGACGGGUGAGUAACACGUGGGUAACCUACCUAUAAGACUGGGAUAACUCCGGGAAACCGGGGCUAAUACCGGAUAAUAUAUUGAACCGCAUGGUUCAAUGUUGAAAGACGGUUUCGGCUGUCACUUAUAGAUGGACCCGCGCCGUAUUAGCUAGUUGGUAAGGUAACGGCUUACCAAGGCAACGAUACGUAGCCGACCUGAGAGGGUGAUCGGCCACACUGGAACUGAGACACGGUCCAGACUCCUACGGGAGGCAGCAGUAGGGAAUCUUCCGCAAUGGGCGAAAGCCUGACGGAGCAACGCCGCGUGAGUGAUGAAGGUCUUAGGAUCGUAAAACUCUGUUGUUAGGGAAGAACAAAUUUGUUAGUAACUGAACAAGUCUUGACGGUACCUAACCAGAAAGCCACGGCUAACUACGUGCCAGCAGCCGCGGUAAUACGUAGGUGGCAAGCGUUAUCCGGAAUUAUUGGGCGUAAAGCGCGCGUAGGCGGUUUCUUAAGUCUGAUGUGAAAGCCCACGGCUCAACCGUGGAGGGUCAUUGGAA